UACGAAGGGUGCAAGCGUUGUCCGGAUUUACUGGGCGUAAAGAGCGCGCAGGCGGUCGUUCAAGUCGCGUGUGAAAGCCCCCGGCUCAACUGGGGAGGGUCACGCGAUACUGAUCGACUCGAAGGCAGGAGAGGGAAGUGGAAUUCCCGGUGUAGUGGUGAAAUGCGUAGAUAUCGGGAGGAACACCAGUGGCGAAGGCGACUUCCUGGCCUGUUCUUGACGCUGAGGCGCGAAAGCUAGGGGAGCAAACGGG
rnacentral:rRNA from 1 species